rnacentral:tRNA from 1 species
AAGAUCUUAGCUUAAUAAAAGUAUCUAAGUUGCAUUUAGUUGAUAUAAGGUAGAGUCUUAUAGAUCUUA